GACGUAGGGGGCGAGCGUUGUCCGGAAUUAUUGGGCGUAAAGGGCCCGCAGGCGGCUUGGUAAGUCGGGUGUGAAAGCUCCAAGCUUAACUUGGAGAGGCCACCUGAUACUGCUAUGGCUAGAGUCCGGUAGGGGAGCGUGGAAUUCCCGGUGUAGCGGUGAAAUGCUUAGAUAUCGGGAGGAACACCAGUGGCGAAGGCGGCGCUCUGGGCCGGAACUGACGCUCAUGGGCGAAAGCGUGGGUAGCAAACAGG
rnacentral:misc_RNA from 1 species